UACGGAGGGGGCUAGCGUUGUUCGGAAUUAUUGGGCGUAAAGGGUGCGUAGGCGGUUUGGUAAGUCUGAUGUGAAAUCUAUGGGCUCAACUCAUAGUCUGCAUCGGAAACUGCCGGGCUUGAGUAUGGGAGAGGUGAGUGGAAUUCCUGGUGUAGCGGUGAAAUGCGUAGAUAUCAGGAGGAACACCAGUGGCGAAGGCGGCGAUCUGGGCAGAUACUGACGCUGAGGUGCGAAAGCGUGGGGAGCAAACAGG
rnacentral:rRNA from 1 species